CUGUGACUCUAGAGAACCCUGACUAAUACACCACCCAACAGGCAAAUUUACAAAGACUUGGACUUAAAUGGCACCUUCUUUAAUAUUCCCCUAGAUAAAACAGCCAACCACUUUUCACCUUCAAGUAGCAAGAUAUGGAAAACAGGUUCACUGUACAGCUAAUCUGGACAAGACUUCUGCAAGGAUUUAAGAACUUGCCCACCAUCUUUGACAAAGCUCUCCAUCAGGACUUAUGUUGGCUUGGAGACAGCACUGCUUGACAGAAGAUACCCUGCUUUCCUAAUGCCCGCAAAAGUACAAGGCCCAACAGUGUGAACUUCCUGGACCUGCUUUACACUUGAUGCAAUCCUGGCCUUAGUAGAGAGGCCUGGCAAGUGGAGCUGGAGGUCUUGGAUAGAGGAGAACAUGGACACUGUGGUGCCAGCAUUCCUCAGGCUUUGAUCCUUGGACCAGCUUGAUCCUGCAUUCUUACAUUAGUGGGUGAUAGCACUGAACUUCCAGAAGCAGUGGUCUUCAUUUCAUCUGACAAAUGCUUGUAAAGUGGGUUCUGCCCUUAUAAGUAAAGAACAGAGGAGCCAAAGGUUGGCUUGGAGUACUCAGAGACAGCACUGCUUGACAGAAGAUACCCUGCAAUCCUAAUGUCCUCAAAAGUACAACGCCCAAGAGUAUGAACUUCCUGGAGCUGCUUUGCACUUGAUGCAAUCCUGGUCUAAGUAGAGAGGCCUUGCAAGUGGAGCUGGAGGUCUUGGGUAGAGGAGAACAUGGACUCGGUGGUGCCAGCAUUCCUCAGGACACGGUGGGCGCAACAAAUGCUGGGCUAAUAUCCACUUAUCAUCUCUUGAACAGAUUCGCCUCUUAUCUGAGUAGGAAAUUGGUCGGCUAAAGUGGAGCAGUUGUCCAGAAAGCUGCUCUUCCAGAUUGCCAAACUCAACAGCACUCGACUGGACCCCAUCACCUUGGGGGACGUCACCUCCUGGAUCACCAAUGCCUUCUCAUUUUUUAAGGAAUGGGUGGGAAUGUUGGCCUGGGGGGCAGUGGUACUCCUGGGUUGUGUCUUUUGUAUCUGGCUAUUGUGUAGAUUCAAACGAGAGCAUGCUCAGUAUAAGGCAGUGGCGUACCAAGCAUUGAUGGCACAUCUCCCAAUGUUUGGCUGGCCUCUUUAAAAAAUUAAGAGUUUGCCCUCGGUCAUC